rnacentral:rRNA from 1 species
CCCUUAGAUGUUCUGGGCCGCACGCAUGCUACACUGAGUGGAUCAGCGGGUCAGGUUGCGCGAAAGUGUUUCCUAAUCUUGAAAUCCGCUCGUGAUGGGGAUUGACGGUUGCAAUUUUCCGUCAUGAACGAGGAAUACCUUGUAAGCGCGGGUCAUCAUCCCGCGCUGAAUACGUCCCUGCCCUUUGUACACACCGCCCGUCGCUCCUACCGAUUGAGUGGUCCGGUGAGGCUUUGGGAUCUGAGCGGAAAGAGCGUUUCGCUGUUUCUGCUCGGAAAACUCAGUCGAACCUUAUCAUUUAGAGGAAGGAGAAGUCGUAACA